AAUUGUAUACUUUAAAUGGAUGAAUAUGGUAUGUGAAUCACCUGUAUUUUGCCAUGUAUAAUGCACACUUUUUUGCCCAAAUUUUUGAGGCAAAAAUAAGGAUGCAUAGUAUACAUGGGUAGUCCUACUUCUGUAUCUUUAUAGAUGUUUUUAAUUCUUCUGUUUAUGUUUAUGCAUUAAAAGUACAACUCUGGAAAGCAAUAAUGAUAUCUGUAUGAAAAUUAAUACUCUGGAAGUAGUAAUUGGUUUUAUUUCUAAACUUAAAAAUUGUAUUAAAAAAUUAAAAUGAAAGAUUGUUUUCCUGAAAGUUAGGGCCAAAAACAUGGACAUACAUUAUACAUGGGAUUGUACUAUACAUGGCAAAAUACAGUAGAUUUCAAUAAAGCUGUUUAAGACAAAAAGUAAAAUCCCCAGCUAGCUCCCAAGAAUUUUGUGUUUUCAUGAAAAAUACUGUGUAAAUUUAAAUGGCUUACUGUUGGGGGAGGAGAGGCAGAUUAGGACCAAAAAUGAUGCUUGACCUUAAAUACUAUGCCAAGGAACAGAAAUAUUAACUUUUCCUUUAAAAACAACACUGAAGUGCUUGUUGUAUAUUUCAGCCAGCAUUUAUAGUAAUUUUAUUUGAUCUUUGGCAAAUUUGAUUGAAAAUUUUAUUCUGUCUUUUUAAUAAUUCUUAUUAUGGAGAUUGGAUGAUUUCUUGUGCUUAGAUGCCAUUUAUUUCUUAUCCAUGUGAUACCUCUUUAUGUCAUAUGCUCAUUUUUAUUAGGGGACUAGUGUUUUUCUUAAUUGAGUUGAAAAAUUUUUUACAUAGUAAGCGUGUUCACAUUUUGAAUAAUUUACGUAAACACUAUUCCGCCAUCUGGUUUCCUGUUUUCCAUGUGUUUCUUAUAUUAGUGUUCAGUAAAUGUUGAGUUGAAUUGAGGAGAAAAGUAUUUAUAAAACAGAUUUCAGUCUGUUCCAGAAUAAUCAAAUGAACCUUUUAUGGUUGUGAGUUCCAUAUAUACAGUAAAAGAUAUAGGAAAGUGCUGUAGUUAUAUUCAGUGAAAUAUAGCAAAUAAUGUUUUUCAAGGAAUAAAAAUCAAAUCUUACAGGAAUGACUUUCUUCUGGGUCACAAGGAACUAUCGAGUUAGUACCCUGUGCUGAAAUUUGAAGUUUAAAGAACACAAAUCGGAAUGUAUAGAUGCCCACCAGGAAAUGACCUAUGGCAAAGGAUUGCUAGGCGUUUAAAGGAAAAGGAAUCUGUCGGAAAGUAGGCAAGGGGUAAUGGGAAUAGAAAGGGAGGGGGUGGGGAAGGGGCAAGUUUCUCCUAGCAAUAUUUCCUAAAUAGCUGAAUAAGAAAUAGGUUCUUUUGAGGCAGGCGUGAUAAUAGUAAUGGGAAGUAUGUGUAGUGGUUAAGAGUAUAGUUUGAAUUCUUGCUUCUUCCAUUUUACAUACUCUCUGUUUUCCUCAUCUGAAAAAUGUGAUAAUACUACCUAACUCAUAGAUGUGUUGUAUUAAAUGAAAUAAUGCAUAUGAAACACUUAGCCUAGAAUAUUGUACAUAAUAAGUACACAGUAAAAUUUGCUGCCAUUACAGCUUGUUGGUAGAUUGUGAAGGCAGAAAUAAAUCAGCAAUGUAAUUGUUUAUAAUUAAGCAGAGAGGAUGGGGUUUAGGAGAAAUUAAUAUUUCAGUUUUAGUCCUUUAAUGAAAUUUAUGUGGAGAUUAGACAUUAGAAAUUUAAAAAAAUUCUGAAAGCUUAGACGUAUUCUCUAAUUAUUAAUAGUACAAGUUGUCAAGAAGAGUGAAAAAAGUUCAGUAACAUCUGACCAGCUGUGAUUAUUUGGUUUAACCCACUAGCUGUGAUUGGUUAAAAAGUGAGCUCAUUGGCUGAAUCAAACCCCAGGCUGGGAGAAGAAGGAAAUCAGAAGAGUGACAGAAACUCAGUAACAUGCAAUAAGAUAGAUGCCCAUUAUGUUUGGAAAUGGGAGGAGAAGGUGGAAUUGAAGAAGUGGAUGAUCUCACAUUGAGACUAAUGGCCAUCAAUAAAGAGAAUUCUGCAUUAAAUUCUGCAGUGGGAAAAGGCAGAUUACCAUUUAGGGCAGUAAACUAAAGGAAGGCUGUGUAGAUUGUUCUGUGGUUUUUUAGUCCUCUCUCAGGAAACAGUAACCCCUGUUUCUUCAUGGUGAAAAGAGGAAUGGGACACUCAGGUUGGGUAUUGUUUUACUUUUAUCAUUUAGUAGUGUGAGGAUGAGCAAAUUAUUUAGUGUCUCUGUGCCUCAUGUAUUAUAAGGAGAUGAUAUUUUUAUUGUUAUUGUGAAGCUUAAAUGAGAUAAAUAUGUGAAAUAUUUUUACCUCUUUAAUUGUUUACCAUUUUUUCUUUAUGCUUAUUACCAUAACGUCAACCUACAUACCAGGGUGUUACUUGUAAUGUUACAGGAGAGGCUUAAUACAAUAGUUGAUCUGUCUUGCAAUGACCACAUAAGAGUUUCUAAUUUCUUAUUUUUAUUUUUUUAGCUUGUGUGUAGAACUCUGUUGAAAAUCAGAUAUUAGAAUUUGGAGGGUAUUAUGCCAGGUUUUACAUCUUUAGAGGUAUAAUAUCUGAUGUUUAAAAGAGAUACAAACUCUGGCAUGAAUGCUCUUUUAAACAGAUAGGCACAGUUCUCCUUUGUAGUUUAUAAAAGGUUUACUAGGAAAAAGACAUAAAUGGGUAAUAAGAUCAGUAAUUUCCAGUAAAUAUUUAAAAAAUUCAUCCUCACUCUAAUAAAUGAAAUGUAACUUAAAUAUAUUUUAUCUAUCAGAUACUGGAUAGUAUUUUAAAAAACUUCUCUGUCUUAAUUCUUUUUAAAAUAUAAAAAUAACAUCUGGUUGAAUUGAAACACUGAACUAUAGAAAGAAAGAAAAUAACUGAGUAGAAAGGACCUGUAUGCAUAGAUGCUCUGUGACAUUUGGCUAGCAGUGUGAAGAGACACCAGAGGUUCUCCCCCUUUUUCAAUUUCUUUCUAAACUUUUUUUUUUGUGUGUUUUUGCAAAAUAAGUGUCUAUGUUUAUCAUGGACCCAGUU